rnacentral:rRNA from 1 species
UACAUGGGGUGCAAACGUUGCUCGGAAUCAUUGGGCGUAAAGCGCACGUAGGCGGCUUGCCAAGUCGGACGUGAAAUCCCUCAGCUCAACUGAGGACGUGCAUCCGAAACUGGCGAGCUUGAGUGCUGAAGAGGAUCGCGGAAUUCCCGGUGUAGAGGUGAAAUUCGUAGAUAUCGGGAGGAACACCAGUGGCGAAGGCGGCGAUCUGGGAAGAUACUGACGCUGAGGUGCGAAAGCGUGGGGAGCAAACAGG